rnacentral:lncRNA from 1 species
UUUUUUUUUUUUUUUUUUUUUUUUCUCCCAUUGUUGUGAGUGUACUAUUAAGUAGGGGCACCUGAUCUGGUAAAUUAUUUGACAUCUAGGAGCUUAAAUUUAUAUAUUUGUAAAAUGAAGGGCUGGGUAGAAAGACCCACUGAGAUCUGAAAUACUAUGAGUCUAAGAAGGUUCUUAAAUUAAGGUUUUACUCCCAAUAUGCGACCGCCACCCCUGUCUGCUUCUCAGCCUGUGACCACCAUGUUCUUCAGUGAGUGGAGACAUCCCACCCCUUGAUCUCUGCCUUUGCUUCCAGCACCAUCUUGGCUUCACUUCUCUCUGGAGUCACCCUAGCAUCCAACAUCCAUUAUCUCAGUCACUGUGUUAUAAUAAUCACAGCAUCUGUAUUCCAGAGAAAUUUUUUUUUUCCUCCUGAGGGAAGAUUCCUUUCCUUGCAAGGGUGCAAAUUUAAGAAAGUAGCAGGUCCUGGUAAUACAAAAUCCAAACAUAAUUCUGCCCAAAAAAUAGCAUCAUUUACUUAACACAUGUGCAAAAAAAAAAAAGUGCACUGAAAAACAAUGAAGCAAAGAAUCUGAUUUUAAUUAGUUACAUUAGAACAUUUAAGUGCAUAUUUAAAUACUUGUUAUGUGUAAGUCACAGCAUAAGGCUUUAAAAAUGCACGUGAACCUUGCCUUCAACAUGGUCAUCUUCAGAAAACAUGCACUAAGUACAAGUUUCAACCAUUUACUAAUUCUAUUUUAUUGCUGGUAAAUAUCUAGGAGUCCCAUAAAAUAAUUUGUCAAUACCUCUCUUUAAUCUUUUUUUUUUUUAAUUUUUAUUUAUUUGUGAUAGUCACAGAGAGAGAGAGAAUGAGGCAGAGACACAGGCAGAGGGAGAUGCAGGCUCCAUGCACCGGGAGCCCGAUGUGGGAUUCGAUCCCGGGUCUCCAGGAUCGCGCCCUGGGCUGAAGGCAGGCGCCAAACCACUGCGCCACCCAGGGAUCCCAAUACCUCUCUUUAAGUGCAGACUAUUUCCUAGCUUGGUUUCCAUGAUCUUAGCUCACACUCCACUGAUACUCCACUGACAGAAGCUUUUCUCUUACCUAUAGACUAAAACAAUGACUCUCAUGCAGAAAAUUUACCCUUUUUAAAAUAAUUUCUAGUGGGAGACACCCAGCUUCGACUUCACUGUACUGAAAAGAGGAAAGCUUUGGGGGCAACAUGAACCAUUUACCUAGCAGAGAAUUGGAAAAGCAGUUCAAAGGAAAGGCAAAGCUAAUACAACAGAGCUUCCAAUAUCUAUUCUCCCCUUAUCACUUAGUAACAAAACUCUGAUUUUGACCUGAACACACAGCCCAGGUAAAAAAGACCGCAGUCCCAGCUUCCCCUGUAGCUAAGCACAGCUAUUCUAUUAAGUUCUCCAGGACAAUGAUGGCAAGGGCUUCAGCAGAGCAGAGAGCUGGAAGGAGCCUGGGUCUCUCUCUGCUGACAGAAUCAACUAGUCCAUUAGGCACAGGGGGCUCAGCGCUUAGGAUCCAUCACACUUUUAGGGACCCACAAACAUUUUAAAAUUUAUUUUAAAAUAAAAAUCUAAAAUGGGCAGCUACGUGUACAAGAAUGAAAUGGGACCACUUUCUUACACCAUGCACAAAAAUAAACUCCAAAUAGAUUAAAAGCCUAAAUGUGAGACCUGAAACUUUAAAAAUCCUAGAAGGGAGUAGAGGCAGUAAUUUCUCUGACAUUGGCUGUAACAACAUUUCUCUAGAUAUGCCUCCUGAGACAAGGGGAAUAAAAGCAAAAAAAAAAAAUAAUCUACUGGGACUACGCUGAAAUAAAAAGCUUCUGCGCAGCAAAGGAAAUGAUCAAUAAUACUAAAAGAUGAUGACCUACGUAAUGGGAGAAGAUAGUUGUAAAGAACGGAUCUGAAAAAUGGGUUCGUAUCCAAAAUAUAUAAAGAACUUCUAGAACUCAGCACCAACAAAACCCCAAGCAAUCUGAUCAAAAAUGAGAAGACCCCAACAGAUACUGCCCCAACGACAUCCAGAUGGCCAACAGACACAUGAAAAGAUGCUCAACAUCACUCUGUCAGGGAAACGCAGACCAAAACCACAAUUGAGAUAUCCCUUGGGGAUCCCUGGGUGGCGCAGCGGUUUGGCGCCUGCCUUUGGCCCAGGGCGCGAUCCUGGAGACCCGGGAUCGAAUCCCACGUCGGGCUCCCGGUGCAUGGAGCCUGCUUCUCCCUCUGCCUGUGUCUCUGCCUCUCUCUCUCUCUCUCUGUGUGACUUUCAUAAAUAAAUAAAAAUUAAAAAAAAAAAAAAAGAUUGAGAUAUCCCCUCACACCGGUCAGAAUGGCUAAAUCAAAAGCUCAAGAAACAACAUAUGUUGAUGAGGAUGUGGAGCCUCAGACACUGUUGGAGGGAAUAUAAACUCCUGCAGCCCCUGUGGAAAACUGUGUGGAGGCUCCCCAAAGAGUCAAAAGGAAAAAGAAAAAAAAGAACUACACUAUGAUCCACUAAUCACACUAGUGGCUUUUCACCCAAGGGGUACAGAAACACUAAUUCGAAAGGAUCAUCCGUGCACCCUUUGGUUUGUAGGAGCAUUAUUUACAAUAGCCUAAUUCUGGAAGGAGCCCAAGUGUCCACUGAUAAGUGAAUGGAUACAGAAGUGAUAUAUAUGCACACACAAUGGGGAUACCACUCGGCCAUAAAAGAGAGAGAGAGAGAGAGAGAGAGACACGUCUUGCCUUUUGCAAUGACAUGGAUGGAGCUAGAGAGUAUCAUGCUAAGCAAAAUAAGUGAGUCGGAGAAAGACAAAUACCAUAUGAUUUCACUCAUAUGUGGAACUUAAGAAAAAAACAAAUGAGCAAAGGAAAAAGGAAGAUAAACCAAGAAACAGACCCUUCACUACGGAGAACUGAUGGUUACAAGAGGGAGGGAGGGAGGAAGGGAGGAGGGGCGGCGGGCCAAGAGGUCAAAAAUAAAGACAGUGAGUGGCACAGUCCAAAGCCAGGCUGCUCUUACCAAGCAGACUCCGUCCUUCCCGUUAAGGCCUACGACUAGCCAAGAGGCGUGCUACAGACUGGGUGUCUGUGUCCCCCCGAUGGAACAGGAGGUGGAGCCUUUGGAGGUGAUUAGGUUAAGAAGGUGGAGCCGGGAUCCCUGGGUGGCGCAGCGGUUUGGUGCCUGCCUUUGGCCCAGGGCGCGAUCCUGGAGACCCGGGAUCGAAUCCCACGUCGGGCUCCCGGUGCAUGGAGCCUGCUUCUCCCUCUGCCUGUGUCUCUGCCUCAUUCUCUCUCUCUCUCUGUGUGACUAUCACAAAUAAAAAAUAAAAAAAAAAAUUUAAAAAAAAAAAAAAA